UUGGAAAAGAAAUGUUCAAUACGGUGACACAUAUAUGCGCAAAACAUACUCCAUUAAGAUCAGUAUACAAAUCUAAGUGAAGAAUCCCUAGAAAUAGAAGAGCCAUUAUCAGAAAAGUAAAAAGAAUUAACAAGAAAAUCAACCAACUUAAAUACUGCCAGCAGCAACGCACCCAUUCGACUGCCAUUGCAUCACUCGAAUCGAAAAAAACACGGCCUCCAAAAAAGUAUGAUGACCAUCAUUAAUAGUCAAAGAGCAGCCGA